GAGGAAUAUUGGUCAAUGGGCGAGAGCCUGAACCAGCCAAGUAGCGUGCGGGAUGAAGGCCCUUGUGGUCGUAAACCGCUUUUAUCAGUGAAUAAAGUGCACCACGUGUGGUGUCAUUGCAGGUAGCUGAAGAAAAAGGACCGGCUAAUUCCGUGCCAGCAGCCGCGGUAAUACGGAAGGUCCGGGCGUUAUCCGGAAUUAUUGGGUUUAAAGGGAGCGCAGGCGGGAGUAUAAGUCAGCUGUUAAAUAUCAGAGCCCAACUCUGUUAUGCAGUUGAAACUAUAUUUCUUGAGUACGCACAGGGAUGGCGGAAUUCAGGGUGUAGCGGUGAAAUGCUUAGAUAUCCUGAAGAACUCCGAUCGCGAAGGCAGCCAUCCGGAGCGUAACUGACGCUGAGGCUCGAAGGUGCGGGUAUCGAACAGGAUUAGAUACCCUGGUAGUCCGCACGGUAAACGAUGAAUACUCGCAGUUCGGCCGUUUAGGUCGAGUUGUCCAGCGAAAGCGUUAAGUAUUCCACCUGGGGAGUACGCCGGCAACGGUG
rnacentral:rRNA from 1 species